rnacentral:rRNA from 1 species
GACGAACGCUGGCGGCGUGCCUAACACAUGCAAGUCGAACGGUGAAGCGCCUUCCUUUUUGGUGGGUGUGGAUGAGUGGCGAACGGGUGAGUAACACGUGAGUAACCUGCCCCCUUCUUCUGGAUAACCGCAUGACAGUGUGGCUAACACCGGAUAUUCUGGGUCUGUCGCAUGAUGGGUCUGGGGCAGAUUUUGUUUCGGUGGGGGAUGGGCUCGCGGCCUAUUAGCUUGUUGGUGGGGUGAUGGCGUACCAAGGCGGUGACGAGUAGCCGGCCUGCGAGGAGGAUGGGCGGCAACACAGGGGCGGCGACGUCGAGCAUACUCCGAGGGGAAGCAGCAGGGAAGAUUACGGCACGGUGGGCAGAAGGAUGAUGCAGCGACGCGGGGUUGAGGAUGGAGGCCGGCGUGUUGAGAACCUCUUUCGGGGGUGAAGCAAGCCUGGCUCAUUUGUGGAUGGGUUGACGGUAGCUGGAGAAGAAGCGCCGGCUAACUACGUG